GGCAACCAGUUGGGGGUCCACUGCCGCAGUGUGGGAGGUUUGUUCUUUCGCUCUUUGCAAUAAAUCUUGUUACUGCUCACCCUGGGUCCACACUGCUUUUGUGAGUUGUAACACUCACUGGGAAGGUCUGCAGCUUCACUCCUCAAGCCCGGGAGACCGCGAGCCCACCGGGAGAAACGAACAACUCUAGACGCGCCGCCUUAAAAGCGGUAACAUUCACUGCGAAGGUCUGCAGCUUUACUCCUGAGCCAGCGAGACCACGAGCCCACCAGAAGGAAGAAACCCCGAAUACGUCUGAACGUCAGAAGGAACAAACUCCAGAAGCGCCACCUCAAGAGCUGUAACACUCACCGCGAGGGUCCGCGGCUUCAGUCUUGAAGUCAGUGAGACCAAGAACCCACCAAUUCGGGACACAAUACCUAUAAUCCCAGUACUUUAGGAGGCCAGGGCAGGCGGAUCAUCUGAGCUCAGGGGUUGGAGAGGAGCCUGAACAACAUACCGAAACCCCGUCUCUACAAAAAAUACAAAAAUUAACCGGUUGUGGUGGCCGGUGCCGGUAGUUCCAGCUAGUGGGGGACUGCGGAGGUGGGAGCUGAAGCGGGAGGAUCGCUUGAGCCUGGAGGUUGAGGCUGCAGUAAACAGGGAUUGCGUCAGGACACUCCAACCUGGGGAACAGAACGAUGCCCUAAAAGGCUGGCUGAGCUGACUGGAGUCCAAUCUCCUGACUCUCAACCUUGACGCAAUAACAGCCCAGGAGCAGAGAGACCAGCUAGUACCCAGAUCUUGAUUUCUAAAUGCUGUUACCCACCAGGAGGAACUAAAAUUUUCUGCAGAAAUGGCUGACUCCAGAUCCAUGAAAAUGAAGCUCCAUGUCAAGCCUGGGAUGUCUUAUGGUCCCAAGAAGGAAGGAUAUGCUUAAAAACUACUGAGGUCACAUGGAAAGGACACGGAAGCUGACUGAGGGAUCUGCCUCACUAAGUUUUGGGACUACUGAGCAUCAAAAAGAAUGACUGUAAGGGGGCCGAGCUUGGUGGCUCAUGCCUGUAAUUCCAGCACUUUGGGAGGUCAAGAUGGGCGGAUCACGAGGUCAAGAGAUCGAGACCAUCCUGGCCAACAUGGUGAAACCCCGUCUCUACUAAAAAUGCAAAACUUGGCCGGACAUGGUGGUGGGCCCUGUGGUCCCAGCUACUUGGGGAGGCUGAGGCAGGAGAAUCACUUGAACCUGUGAGAGGGAGUUUGCAGUGAGCUGAUAUAGCGCCACUGCACUCCAGCCUGGUGACAGAGUGAGACUCCAUCUCAAAACAAAACAAAACAAAACAAGAAUGACUAUAGUUAAUUAAAAUGCA
rnacentral:lncRNA from 1 species